GACAGAGGUGCCAAGCGUUAGGCGGAAUCACUGGGCUUAAAGCGUGUGUAGGCGGGGGCCUAAGUACCUUGUGAAAUCCCACGGCUCAACCGUGGAACUGCCGGGCAUACUGGCGAUCUUGAGGCAUUCAGGGGCGAGCGGAACAAAUGGUGGAGCGGUGAAAUGCGUAGAUAUCAUUUGGAACGCCAAUGGUGAAAACAGCUCGCUGGGAAUGAUCUGACGCUGAGACGCGAAAGCCAGGGGAGCGAACGGG
rnacentral:rRNA from 1 species